rnacentral:rRNA from 1 species
AUUGAACGCUGGCGGCAGGCCUAACACAUGCAAGUCGAGCGGAGCGGCGGACGGGUGAGUAAUGCCUAGGAAUCUGCCUGGGAGUGGGGGAUAACGUCAGGAAACGGGCGCUAAUACCGCAUACUAUCAGAUGAGCCUGGGGGGGAUUAGCUAGUGGGUGGGGUAAAGGCCCACCAAGGCGACGAUCCGUAACUGGUCUGAGAGGAUGAGCAGUCACACUGGAACUGAGACACGGUCCAGACUCCUACGGGAGGCAGCAGUGGGGAAUAUUGGACAAUGGGCGAAAGCCUGAUGCAGCCAUGCCGCGUGUGUGAAGAAGGUCUUCGGAUUGUAAAGCACUUUAAGUUGGGAGGCGUUACCCACAGAAGAAGCACCGGCUAACUACGUGCCAGCAGCCGCGGUAAUUC